CGCAGAAUGUCUACAGUUUUAGUGCUUAUACAGAGUACACCAUCUUGCUGUGCUAGUCCUGAUCGGCGCGUAUGGAAGAUUGCUUUAUCCGAACAAUAAACAAAACUACGUACUGUGGCAUCUAUUCUUCUAUGGCAUGUGUCAAGCUGCAGCAAAGAGCGAAAGUUUCAGAUGCGGUUUGAAGAAAUUUGAAGUGUCUGAGCAGUCGGUGCCGGUGGCAUGGGUAACCAGAAAGUAGCCAAUAUAGCCAGUGCCUUUUCCGUUGACAAGCGGAUGAUUAGUAUUGUUGUAACGAUCAUGGAAGUUGCCGAGGAAUUUUUUGAACUUGGCAUUCUGUGUGCAUUGGUGUACACCGCGAUUAUCGCUUUGGUGUGUGGCGUUGCUUUUGCCCAAAUAACCGAAGAAUUAAAGGCCACCAGCAAUGAACAAAAACCGGGGCGAAAACUAGUGCGACUGAAUGAGUGUCUCCGUUAUCACCGGACAACGAGCAUCAUUGUUGAAGAAACGGAUGGGUUGAUGGGAAUUUGCGUUCUUAUCUAUUACGUUCAUGACAUCGUGUCACUCGUAUACAACACCGCAAAUUUCUUUGAAGGCGCUGGUUUUGCAAACGCGGGUAGUGUGGUUUUCUUGAAGUCUGCGCAGGUUGCGUUGAGGACAACAUGCUUCGUUUAUCUGAGCGACAAGGUGGAGGAAUUUACAGCGGCUUUUCGUCGGAUUCUUUUAGACAAAGCUUUGCUGGAAAGUCAUCAGUAUCAAGGUCAUCAUCAGCUGGCUCUAAAUAGUAUGCAGAGCAAUCCUCC